CCUACGGGUGGCAGCAGUGGGGAAUAUUGCGCAAUGGGCGAUAGCCUGAAGCAGCGACGCAGCGUGAAGGAUGAAGGUCUUCUGGUCGUAAACCUCCGUCUGUAGGGAAGAACGGUCAAUGUGGUAUUCAGUAGUGAAUUUACGUUACCUGCAAGGGAAGCACCGGCUAACUCCGUGCCAGCAGCCGCGGUGAUACGGAGGGUGCGUGCGUUAAUCUGAAUUACUUGGCGUAAAGCGCGCGUAGGCGGUAUGUCAAGUCUAUGGUGAAAUCCCCGAGCUCAACGUUGGAACUGCAUUUGAAACUGGCAAACUGGAGUGUGAGAGAGGAUAGUGGAAU
rnacentral:rRNA from 1 species